rnacentral:piRNA from 1 species
UCCAAUCUUCGAGAUGCUCCAGUAAGAGUC